GGAGCAUGUGGUUUAAUUCGAAGCAACGCGAAGAACCUUACCAGGUCUUGACAUCCUUUGACCACUCGAGAGAUCGAGCUUUCCCUUCGGGGACAAAGUGACAGGUGGUGCAUGGUUGUCGUCAGCUCGUGUCGUGAGAUGUUGGGUUAAGUCCCGCAACGAGCGCAACCCUUAUUACUAGUUGCCAGCAUUCAGUUGGGCACUCUAGUGAGACUGCCGGUGACAAACCGGAGGAAGGUGGGGAUGACGUCAAAUCAUCAUGCCCCUUAUGACCUGGGCUACACACGUGCUACAAUGGAUGGUACAACGAGUCGCGAAGUCGUGAGGCCAAGCUAAUCUCUUAAAGCCAUUCUCAGUUCGGAUUGUAGGCUGCAACUCGCCUACANGAAGCCNGAAUCGC
rnacentral:rRNA from 1 species